rnacentral:lncRNA from 1 species
CUACAGCUAUCCAACCCCAUUAGGCUCUAGUAAGGUCCAUGUAGCGAGCUUUCAGCCAAUGACCCCCGAUCCAGUUGGCUCAAGACAUUAGGUGAAAUACCCCUCGGACUUAAUUACUCGAACCAAACUACGCCACGAGGCCAGACUUGUCAUCAUAAGGAUUUUUUUUUGUUUAAUUAUGCAAGAAAAGAGAAGAUAGACUGAACCAUAUAGGUAUUUUUUUAUUAUAUAUGUGACUGCAUCGUGACUAUAGGUCAACCAAGGUCGGAUCAUAAGGCACCUAAGUAAUCUAACUGGGAUAUUCAACCUCUAUCUUUAUGUGAAAACCAAAUCAUGAACCUUAUGGUACGAACAAGGAUACUCGUACUUCUUUUACGGAUAAAGCUAACAAAAAUGCAGUUAACAAAUGUGAACUCGUGAGGCUUUUCUAUUGUCAUUAAGUACACGUGUGGGGAUCUAAUAAUAGGUCUCUGAUCAAUCAUAGUAUGCAUGUGUUCCUUGCCUUAAUAGUUGCACAAACUCAAUAUGAAAAUACAUGUGCAUUUGCUCAG